rnacentral:rRNA from 1 species
UACAGGGGGGGCAAGCGUUGUUCGGAAUUACUGGGCGUAAAGGGCUCGUAGGCGGCCAACUAAGUCACACGUGAAAUCCCCAGGCUUAACCUGGGAACUGCGUGUGAUACUGGAUGGCUUGAAUUCGGGAGAGGGAUGCAGAAUUCCAGGUGUAGCGGUGAAAUGCGUAGAUAUCUGGAGGAACACCAAUAGCGAAGGCAGCUCGCUGGGACGGUACUGACGCUGAGGCGCGAAAGCGUGGGGAGCGAACAGG